GAUGAACGCUAGCUACAGGCUUAACACAUGCAAGUCGAGGGGUAACGAGAGGAAAGCUUGCUUUCCUUGUCGACGACCGGCGCACGGGUGAGUAACGCGUAUCCAACCUGCCCCCAACUAAGGAAUAACCUUGCGAAAGUAAGACUAAUACCUUAUAAUUUCCUCAGAUGUCAUCUGACGAGGAAUAAAGAUUUAUCGGUUGUGGAUGGGGAUGCGUCUGAUUAGCUUGUUGGCGGGGUAACGGCCCACCAAGGCAACGAUCAGUAGGGGUUUUGAGAGGAAGGUCCCCCACAAUGGGACUGAGAACCGGUCCAAACUCCGUCGGGAGGCAGCAGUGAGGAAUAUUGUUCAAUGGGCGGAAGCCUGAACCAGCCAAGUAGCGUGCAGGAUGACGGCCCUAUGGGUUGUAAACUGCUUUUAUACAGGAAUAAAGUUAGCCACGUGUGGUUAUUUGUAGGUACUGUAUGAAUAAGGACCGGCUAAUUCCGUGCCAGCCGCCGCAGUAA
rnacentral:rRNA from 1 species